UACGUAGGGGGCAAGCGUUGUCCGGAUUAUUGGGCGUAAAGAGCGUGUAGGCGGCCAGGUAGGUCUGCUGUGAAAACUCGAGGCUUAACCUCGAGCUGUCGGCGGAAACCAUCUGGCUAGAGUCCGGAAGAGGAGAAUGGAAUUCCCGGUGUAGCGGUGAAAUGCGCAGAUAUCGGGAAGAACACCCGUGGCGAAAGGCGGUCUCUGGGACGGUACUGACGCUGAGACGCGAAAGCGUGGGGAGCGAACAGG
rnacentral:rRNA from 1 species